rnacentral:rRNA from 1 species
AGAACGAACGCUGGCGGCAUGCCUAAUACAUGCAAGUCGAACGAACACUUCGGUGUUAGUGGCGCACGGGUGCGUAACGCGUGGGAAUCUGCCCUUGGGUUCGGAAUAACAGUUGGAAACGACUGCUAAUACCGGAUGAUAUCGAAAGAUCAAAGAUUUAUCGCCCAGGGAUGAGCCCG